UACGUAGGGGGCGAGCGUUGUCCGGAAUUACUGGGCGUAAAGAGCUCGUAGGUGGUUUGUCGCGUUUGUCCGUGAAAAACUCACAACUCAAUUGUGGGCGUGCGGGCGAUACGGGCAGACUGGAGUACUGCAGGGGGAGACUGGAAUUCCUGGUGUAGCGGUGGAAUGCGCAGAUAUCAGGAGGAACACCGGUGGCGAAGGCGGGUCUCUGGGCAGUAACUGACGCUGAGGAGCGAAAGCGUGGGGAGCGAACAGG
rnacentral:rRNA from 1 species